UCCCGUCGCGGGGAGGGGGCGUUGGCAGUUGGCCCAGUUUGGGGGCCAGGGGCGGCUGAGCGCGGGGGAAUAAAUCUGCUGAGUGUUUUUCUUGUUCCUGCAGUAGAAUAAAGAGGCCAUCAACAGCCUGUAACAAUCACACUCCUUGUUUGAGAUACUUCACCUUCCUCAUUUUAGCCCUGCCUUUAUCCUGCCGCUUCUUUUUCUUAACUUCAGGUGCUCUUAUCUUUCCUUUGCCAUCCGUCACCUCCAUGACAGAACUCUAGUCCUUAAAGGCUGUGUCUCUGGGCCUUUUUGACUGUCAAAACUUCAGUCACUGUCAAGAGAUGGCUUCAACUUGAAAAGGGCACAAGAGGAACAGCGCCCUUCACACGUGCUUCAAAUUCACACACACAGGCACACACACAGUGAGGGGGGGUCACACAUACACGCGCAUGCGGUGGAGGGGUCAGAAAAUGAGAAACCGGGGAAGUGUUUCCCCUGUUCGGUUCUUGGGAUUAAAAUGAAAACAUCCGUUAUUCCUUUCAUUGCAGGCCAUGAAGGAGCUCCAGCUGGGGUGGCAGAGGGUCCUCCUGCCCUGAGUGAACAGGCCCAGGCACCAAAGGAAGAAGCACCCCGGGGAAUACCCUCCACAGCAGACUGGCAGACAGUCACAGCCAGGACCGGAGCAGCACACAGCGAACCGGUACCAGCUUCUCCAGUCCGACUGGUGAACAGGUACGAGGCCCUGGCGACCCUGCAGGAGAUGGAAGCGGAGGAGGAAACCCUUGAGCAAGAAGAAACACCACGUUCUUCACACUCCAAACAGAUCAAGAGAUCCACGAUGACCCAGAGGAGGAGGCGACGAGUGCUCGUCAUAGGAGACUCCAUCCUGAGAGGUACGGAAGGACCCAUCUGUCGCCAGGACCCCUCGGCACGAGAGCAGUGACCGGACGAGGAAGACGGCAGGAGAACUGCAUCAGAGAGACCAACUGGCGGCUUCGGCAGUGGUGUCUCGAGGCAGGCUUUGGCUUCCUGGACAAUGACCCGCACAUCACGACGAGGGACAUGCUUAGCUGGGAUGGGCUUCACCUGUCCCCCAAAGAUCUUAAGAAUUGAGCAAGCCAGCGGUCCUGCCCAAAGCAACAACUGAGGUAUAUAAGCUUAUAAAUGGAAGUUGGAAUGUGAAUCCCAAUCUUAUAUAGUGCCUAUUUUAGAGUGGAAGGUAAGCACCUAAGUCUGGGAGGGAGUCAGGAUUUCAGACUCUCUUCAAUGUUCCCAGCUGGCUAUUUAAGGUAUUUCCAUGGCUAUUGUGAAUCCUACUCAUGGUAUGUAAUUCUUCCCCAUUAUUUGCAGGGAAUGAACUUAGCACCUAACUCAUGGUUUGUGAAUUCUACUUCCAGAGCCAAGUGCCUACAGGUUAGAUGUGACAUCUAAGUCCCUUUAUGAAUUUGAACCUUUAAUACUUACAGCUCAUCAGCAUAUUCAUUCUGUUUCUGAGACUUUUAAAAUUAGAAUUCUAACUUGUAGAAUUCUAAUUUUUCAGACUCAUCUUGGACAUAUGAACUUGUGCUACAGAACACUACCUGAUCCUCAGUAAAUAAAGAGUUAAUUCCAAUCCUGUUUUUCUAUUCCUUUGUACAGCUGUUCAGGAGUGAAUCAGGCCAAAAUAACUUUUUUUGGAGACAGAAUGGGAAAUGUGUUUGAAUGAAGAUAGGGUACCACACAUAUGGAUUAUAAACCUGUGAAUAUCCUAAACUAGAUACAUUUUUAUGUCACUUAUUUUGAUUUCUUAUUAAAAUGUUAUUCAUCUAACAAAAUCUCUUGUCCAUGACAACAAUGUAUUUUCUGCUGUGCCCUUCUGCAAGCUUGCUCAAAUUUCUUAAGGUGCUUAUUUCAAUGAAGAGAAAGUGGCUUUAUUGGCUAAGGCCACACCCCACCUAACAUUUGUAUGAUUAAUUUUAAGCAUCAGAUUCAUCUUGCUGAUGUCACUGUGUCACGGGAUGGGGUCCUGCCAGAUGGCCAUGAUCUCCCCAAGGCACCCUUACCAUGCCAAGUUGGCCCAAUGGGCACCCUUGAUUCUCACCCGCCAUGUCUUUGAUGGAAAAUUAUAUAGUAUGGGAGGCUGCCUUUACGUCCUCUCGGACACGGUUUGCUGUACUCUCUGACCCCAUGGACUCCUGGACCCCUGGUUGGUCCCGCUCCAAGAUAGAUGUCACAAUGGGUGUUUCAGGGCACCCUAGCCUUAUGGGCUAUGCAUGGCUCCAACCACCCCUUUACCAUGCCCCGAGCCUCACAGAUGGUACUGACGUUGUUUGGUCUAGGCCUUGUUAUAAUUUGGCCCCCUUGUCCUCCCUGGGCCCUUCGAGGCCCUGUCUUGCUUCGCGCCUCGCUGGCACUUGGGCUCUCUGCGGCCCUGCAAAGUGCUGCGCUCUCUCUGGCGCCUGGGCUUUCCACAGCCCUGGAAAGUGCUGUGCCCUCUCUGGUGCUGGGGUCGGUGCACCCCAGAUGCUGCGUCCUCUCUGGUGCUGGGGUCAGUGCACCCCAAAUGCUGCGUCCUCUCUGGCACUGGGGUUCCCCACGCUGCCGUGGGUCCCCUAUGAGGCCUCCUCCUUCCCCUAAUAGCCUCACCCAAACCACCGGUAUUGAACAGCCAUAAACAAAACACAAGCCCUUGGGCUGUAAUGUAAAUUCAAGCUGCUCGGCUAUAACCUCAUUCAAACCCUACUGGGGAAUGCUCAGUCCCUUAACAGUCUCGGAAGCUGCUCCAGCAGACAGGUCUCUCCCCUUUGCUUGCUCUGGGAGAGCUCCUUCCCCCUUGGCUGAUGGCAGGGAACUGCCCUCCUGGCCUCAGCCCUGGGGUUUACAUACGAGCUAGGCCCUGCCCCUUCCGGUCAGCUGACCACUGACAGGUGUAGGCCACUAGCUCGUUCUGGCUCCCCUGGUAACCAACAGCUGGGGCUUCCUACUCACUGCUAGGGCUCUUCCCCAAGCAGUUGCAGCUUUUUAAAGGAGCAGGGCAACCUAGUGUCCUGCAACACACUGGAACUAUUCAUAUGCUUGAAAUUAAUCAAGGUCUGCAGCAUGCCUGGAGCAAGGAUUCGCAAUGUCACAGAGACCAUCCCUAAAAUCAUCAAGCCCUCUGACUACUACCCACUGGUUGUGGUCCAUGUGGGUACAAAUGAUGCAUCCAAGGGCAAGCUGGAUAACAUCAUGGAGGACUAUAAGGCCUUGGGACACCAACUGAAGAAGACGGGAGCUCAGGUGGUAUUUUCCUCCAUUCUCCCGGUAAGUGGACGGGGUAGGUGUCAUGAGGCCUGCUUUGACGUAGUUAACCUGUGGCUUUGGAGCUGGUGCCAUGAGGCAGGCUUUGGGUUUUUUGACAAUGACCCAUGUUUUUGUAAGGAGGGCAUGCUGGGGUAGGAUGGGCUUCACUUCUCCCCUUUUGGCAGACGUAUCUUUUCCUCUAGGUUGGCUGAUCUUGUACAGCGGGCUUUAAACUAGCUUCGCUGGGGGAAGGGGCCACUUCGAGUGGAGAGGAUGCUUCACCAGCACUCAAGGUGACAAGAGGAAGGGAAGCACGGAAGCAUUUGAAAGAAGAGUGUGAAAGAGAAGAUGUGUAUGUCUAUGUGUGGCCUGUUUCCAUGUGGGGACAGUGCUUUCUUAAUGCCACUUCCAGCUCGUCUUGUUGGUUAAGGUUGUCUAUUUGUUUGUGGGGGGGUAGUUAAAUUAUUAUAAUUAUAUUUUAUGUUAGGCUUUCAGAUACAGAUGUUGCAAAUACCACAAAUAUAGACUAAUUUUAAAAAAAGCUGAGUUCUUAUAUGCAAAGUUAUAUUAUUAUAUCUGGUAAUGAACCAAUAAAGAAGUU